ACUUGGAAUAUUAUAUCUAGUUUUGGUCACCAUGAUGUAAAAGAGUUGUUGAGACUCUUGAAAGAGUGCAGAGAAGAGCAACAAAGAUUAUUAGGGGACUGGAGGCUAUGAAGAACAUAUGAAGAACGGUUGCAGAAAUUGGUAAUUUGACACCCAGCAGAAGAAGAAACCAACCAACCAAUCAACUUUUCUGCUGCUCUUCCAUACGAGAUGAGCAACAU